AUGAAGGUGAUAAGCUCUCUGGAGGAGAAAACCAAGCCAUUGUGUACAAAUAUGACUCCUGCUGCAGUCCCCAGAGCUUUCACCCUUCUGUGCACACUGGCAACUCUUGGGGAAAAACUCCUCACACCACUGGCUGAGGAAGACGCAACGGUCCCAAACAUUAAGUAAGAUCAUUGUAGUGGGUGUUGGGCAAAUUUGUAUGGCAUGUGCUAUAAGCAUUCUGGGAAAGUCUCUGACAGAUGAACUUGCUCUUGUGGAUGUUUUGGAAGAUAAGCUUGAAGGAGAAAUGUUGGAUCUGCAGCAUGGGCGCUUAUUUCUUCAGACACUUAAGAUUGUGACAGAUAAAGAUUACUCGGGACCGCCAGUUCUAAGAUUGUGGUGGUAACUGCAGGAGUCCGUCAGCAAGAGGGGGAGAGCCGUUUCAAUCUGGUACAGAGAAAUGUUAAUGUCUCCAAAUUCAUUAUUCCUCAGAUUGUCAAGUGCAGUCCUGAUGGCCUCAUAAUUGUGGUUUCCAACCCAGUGGACAUUCUUACAUAUGUUACCUGGAAACUAAGUGGAUUACCCAAGCAUCGUGUGAUUAGAAGUGGGGGUACUCUGGAUUCUGCUAGAUUUUGCUACCUUUUGGCUGAAAAACUUGGCAUUCAUUCCAGCUGCUGCCGUGGACGGACUUUGGGAGAACCUGGCGACUCAAGUGUGGCUGUGUGAAGUGGAGUGAAUGUAGCAGGUGUUUCUCUCCAGAAACUGAACCCAGAAAUGGGAACAGACAAUGACAGUGAAAAUUGGAAGGAAGUGCCUAAGAGGGUGGUUGAAAGUGCCUGUGCAGCCAUCAAACUAAAGGGACAGACCAACUGGGCUAUUGGAUUAAGUGUAGCCAUCUUAUUGAAUCUAUGUUGUGUAAUCUAUCCAGGAUUCAUCUAGUCUCAACAAUGAUGAAGGGUAUGUGUGGCAUCGAGAAUGAAGUCUUCCUGAGCCUCCCCGGUAUUCUCAAUGCUUGGGGAUUAACCAGUGUUAUUAACCAGAAGCUAAAGGACGAUGAGGUUGCUCAACUCAAAAAAAGUGCACACACCCUGUGGAACAUCCAGAAGGACCUAAAAGACCUGUGA